CGUCUAGCAACAGUGUGCGCGAUAGCCGUUGGAGUUCGCGAGUGCGUUUGGAUUUUCGGAUGCGGAGAUGGGUGACGGCGGAGAAGCUGCGUUUUAUCAGUGUUUUGGUGCGUGUUUUGACAACUCUGGUGUGCGUGGUACCCUUGUUAGCCUGGAUUACUUUUGUACACAUACAUCAGGGAUAUACACGAAGGUUCGGCACCGAUGGCGGGUCUGCAAGAAAAUCAGGACAAGAGCCGUGACUAGACGCGAAACGCGGAAACAGAUGUGAACUCAAGAGCAACAAUUCAAGCAACGACUACUCACGCUUACGGAUCCCGUGGCAGACGUCGGUGACAACAGCAGCGAGAGCUGCCACAUACACGAAGGACGACAUUCCGGCUGCUUUGUCCAGGUAACGCAUUCAGGUGCA